CGGAGGAGAAGCCCAGUGCUGGGGCCAGUGCCGGCCCACCGAGGAGGGCAGCGGGAGCCAGGCCGGCCCGCUGCUGGGUGCCGGCACCAUCAGGGUCCCAGAGACUUCCCAGCAGGGCCCACCUGAAGAGACGACAGCAUGUGAUGAUGCUCUCGGGGGUCAGCAGGUCCCGGGAUCGGGUCCGGUGGAGACACGGCGGCCAGCGGCCCAGCACGGAGCUUCCCGAGCCGCCUCCGGGGCCCCGUCCCUGCUCCCCGUGGUGACCCCAGGGCCUCUCGGGGCGGCGGACACGGACUGUCCACCGCGGGCCACCCAGGCCCGGCCCCUGAAGCGCAGAGCCGGUGGCUCGAUUUCAGAAGCCCCUUCCCUGUGGACGUGGCCGCUGGAAAGAAGCGCGUGGGCUCUGAGACGGGGGUCUCUGCCGGGCCCAGCUCAUCAGGACCAGGAAAGGAGCCGUCUCCCCGGGGCCCCUCCGCCGAACGCGGGGCUGGGGGGGCCGCGAGCCUCGCAGUCCGGUUCCCCACCUUCUCCUGGGGGUGGGCGGGGAGAACCCACGCUGGAAAGCUCGUCUGUUCCCUUCCUGGCCGGCUUCCGGGCUUCCGCGCCGCGCGCCCCGGUCGGGGUCCCCCAGGUGCCCUCCCUGCUCCAUGGAUCCCGGCCCUGCCGCCCCGGGCUCCCCUCCUCUGCCGCCGGCGCGGCCUUUUCUCGGGGUCGCCCCCUCUCCGCUCGGGCCCACCCUCUCCUCACCCGGCCACGCCCACCGCACGGCUUGAACCCAUUGGUUGACCACAGGGCGCGCUAGGUGAGCUACUGGAGCGAAGAGCAGGGGUCCCCCGAGGGUCGAUCAGCAAGGCCUGGGGGAACAGCCUGGUAAGCUGGGGCAAACUCGGAGACACGGCCCUCGAAGGGGAGGGAACAGCCUGUGAGAAAGCUCAGAGGGGGAGUGUCCACAGGUCCCACCGGCUUAAAGCAGGCAGGGGGCUGGCCCCGCAGCUCUCCCAAGGGGCUCAGGCGGCUGCUUGACCUGAGGGCCCGCAGAGUCUGUGCUGGGGGCGCCACCCUCUGUGGGGCAGAGACGGCGGCCAGAGCACAGGUCAAGAAGGGGUGAAGAAGGCCAGGCCCCUGCCACCUGCUUACCCAGGGCCCCAGGAUCUGGGAGCGGGAGGUGAGCUGCUGUCCUGGGAAUGGCUUCAAGGGAGGCCGUGGGCUUGGACCUCAGAGAAGGGGAGGCAGUGGGGGGUUCUGGAGAAAAUAGGAGCGGGGGCUCCUCCUCCAUGCACUCCCCCUCCCCAGGAUGGCCCCCCUCCUGCCGGUCAGACCCUUUAGACCCUGGGGUGCUCAUCCUGACCACGUCCACCCUACGCCGUGAUGCUGGGGACACUCCAGGGCUGUGGGGUGUCCCCGAAGCAGACCCAGUGAGGACCAGAGUGCACACUGAGAAAGGGGGUGGUGAGGGGGCUGGGGGUGGGAGCCCAGAUCCACAGGAGUCUGGGGAGGGAGCUUCCUGGAGGGAGCAAGGCUGCUGGGGGAGUACGGUCAGCCCCUCCAGCCCACGGGUGAGAGCUCCCUGAUGCGUCUCCUGAAGCUACUGGGCUAGUAGACUCAUCUGUCAUUGUCUUAAUUUCAGUUAUUUUUUUCUUUUCCAGUUAUUUUUUUAAAGAUUUUUUAAUUUAUUUAUCAGCUUCCCUUAUGGCUCAGUUGGUAAAAAAUCCUCCUGCAACGCAGGAGACCUAGGUUUGAUUCCUGGGUCAGAAAGAUCCCCUGGAGAAGGGAUAGGUUAAUCACUUCAGUAUUCUUGGGCUUCCCUUAUGACUCAGCUGGUAAAAAAUCCAUCUGCAAUGCAGGAGACCUGGAUACCAUCCCUGGGUUGGGAAGAUCCCCUGGAGAAGGGAAAGGCUACCCACUCCAGUGUUCUAGCCCAGAGAAUUCCAUGGACUGUAUAUGUCCAUGGGGUCGCAAAGAGCUGGACACGACUGAGUGACUUUCACUUUAUUUCUUUUAUUUUUGGCUGUGGUGGGUCUUUGUUGCAGUGUGUGGGCUUCUGAUUGUGGUGGCUUCCCUUGGCUUCUCUUUGGAUCUGGUGACUCUAGGCGCUAAGGCUUCAGCAGUUUCAGCCCAUGGACUUAGUUGCACCACAGCAUGUAGGAUCUUCCUGGACCAGGGAUCGAACUGGUGUCCCUGCAUUGCAAGGCAGAUUCUUAACCACUGGACAACCAGGGAAGCCCUUUCAGUUAUUUUUAAUUUUAGAUUUCCAUCUGAUUUUUUUUUUAAUGGACUCCAGGCCUCUGGUAAAAUUCUCCAUCUUGUCAUUUGUUUCUUGAAUGUUCUAAUAAUAAUUAUUUACAAAGCCAAGUUGAUAGCCCCAAUAUCUGGAUCACCUGUGAGUCUGUUUCUUUCCUUUUCUAAACGCUGUGCCAGGCCUUCGUUGCUGCAUGCAAACUCUAAUUUGUGGCAUGUGGGGUCUCCUUCCCUGGCCAGGGAUUGAGCCCAGGCCCUCUGCAUUGGAGCAUGGGGUCUUAGGCACUGGGCCAUCAGCGAAGUCCUGUUUCUUUUUUCUCUAGAUUCUUUCAUUCCUUCUUCCUUCCUUCUUUUGUCCCUGUCCCCUGGCAGGCCCUGUGAUUAGGGGAUGAAUGUUGGGCCUGUACAGGAUGGGGGUGACAUACGUCUCAUUGGCUGGAGACUCACUUGCAGGGGCCUCAGCUGAAGGCUUGGGUGUUUCCCACAGCUCCCUCUCCUCCAUGCCAGGGUUCUGGUUUCUCUCUCCAGUACCACCAGACUGCUAAACAUUCAGCUUAGCCUUCUGGGCUUUUAACUGCCAUUUUCCACGUCGCUUCUUAGUCCUUCUUCACCCCAAACAGCAUGAAGUGAAGUGAAGUUGCUCAGUUGUGUCCGACUCUUUGCAACCCCAAGGACUGUAGCCUACCAGCCUCCUCUGUCCAUGGGAUUCUUCAGGCAAGAGUGCCGGAGCGGGCUGCCAUUUCCUUCUUCAGGGAAUCUUCCCGACCCAGGGAUCGAACCCAGGUCUCCCACAUUGCAGGCAGAUGUGUUACUUUCUGAGCCACCAGGGAAGCCACCAAACAGCAUAGAAAUGGGCAAAUACCUCAAGGGGGCAAGAGGCUCUUAGAUGGGGUUUCAUGCCUGCGUUUCUCUCCCUAGGCCUGUGAGAAUGUGAAGAGCUGAGGUGCUGUGUUCUCCUUGGCCUCCAGACACAGCAUCUUCCCCAAAUCAACAGGCUCCCAAGGGGGAGAGUAGCUGAGAACGUGGCUCAUCUCCAGGUGACCCCCUCUGGUGAGGGCCUCAGCCCCUCAAGUCUUGGCUGCCUCGGUUGCUCACCAAUGCCUUCAGAUAGCUGUGUAACUUUAAAACCUUUCGCCCAUACCGUGCGUCAUGUGGCAGCCUUAGUUCACUGACCAGCUUCAAACCUGGGCCCCUGCAUUGGCAGUGUGCAGUCUUCAUCACUAGGCUGCCAGGCAAGUCUCCAGCUGUGUAUUUUUAAAUGUGGCUUUUAAAGUUGCUUUUGAUGCAAAGUUUUGUCUGAUGUUUGCUAUUCAUCAUAGUUGGAAGCAUGAUUAAAAAUAAAAUGGUCUUAUAAACCA
ensembl:lncRNA